rnacentral:rRNA from 1 species
GUGCCAGCAGCCGCGGUAAUACGGAGGGGGCUAGCGUUGUUCGGAAUUACUGGGCGUAAAGCGCACGUAGGCGGAUCAGUCAGUCAGAGGUGAAAUCCCGGAGCUCAACUUCGGAACUGCCUUUGAUACUGCUGAUCUGGAGUUCAUGAGAGGUGUGUGGAAUUCCGAGUGUAGAGGUGAAAUUCGUAGAUAUUCGGAGGAACACCAGUGGCGAAGGCGGCUCACUGGCUCGAUACUGACGCUGAGGUGCGAAAGCGUGGGGAGCAAACAGGAUUAGAU